UACGUAGGUGGCAAGCGUUGUCCGGAUUUACUGGGCGUAAAGGGCGCGUAGGCGGUCCGUUAAGUUAGAUGUGAAAACUCUGGGCUCAACCCAGAGCCUGCAUCUAAUACUGACGGGCUAGAGUUCUGGAGGGGGUAGCGGAAUUCCUGGUGUAGCGGUGAAAUGCGUAGAUAUCAGGAGGAACACCGGUGGCGAAGGCGGCUACCUGGACAGAAACUGACGCUGAGGCGCGAAAGCUAGGGGAGCAAACAGG
rnacentral:rRNA from 1 species